GACGAACGCUGGCGGCGUGCUUAACACAUGCAAGUCGAGCGGUAAGGCCCCUUCGGGGGUACCCGAGCGGCGAACGGGUGAGUAACACGUGAGCAAUCUGCCCAUCACAUCGGGAUAACUCCGGGAAACCGAAGCUAAUACCGAAUACGACCACCUCCGGCAUCGGAUGGUGGUGGAAAGUUCCGGCGGUGAUGGAUGAGCUCGCGGCCUAUCAGCUUGUUGGUGGGGUAACGGCCCACCAAGGCUUCGACGGGUAGCCGGCCUGAGAGGGUGACCGGCCACACUGGGACUGAGACACGGCCCAGACUCCUACGGGAGGCAGCAGUGGGGAAUAGUGGACAAUGGGCGAAAGCCUGAUCCAGCAACGCCGCGUGAGGGAUGACGGCCUUCGGGUUGUAAACCUCUUUCAGCAGGGACGAAGCGCAAGUGACGGUACCUGCAGAAGAAGCACCGGCCAACUACGUG
rnacentral:rRNA from 1 species